GCCACCGUAGCUCAGUGGUAGAGCACACCCUUGGUAAGGGUGAGGUCACGGGUUCGAGCCCCGUUGGUGGCU
rnacentral:tRNA from 1 species